CAAGCCGGACAAGCUCUUCUCAUGAUCAGGAAGAACAGGAGGAGAGAAGAAGGCAAUGAAACGAGCUUGGAACUUACUUUCCUUCUAAGAGAGUCUUCAGGAACAUAGGCAUUCAAGACUUGAACACUAAAUAUACAACAAGCCUGGAGAGGAUCAUACAUUAACACUGGGGUACACACUAUUUUCAAACUGACCAGGGACCAGGCAAUGAUGAGAGACAAAGCCAGGGAGAGAGAGGGAGAACGGAGCUGCUUCUUUAAUAUGUCCUCCCCAACUUCCAGCCACUGUGAUGAGCUACUUAUUCCAUGUUGCUUUACGGUGUGGAUAAUCUCUGCUUCCGUCCUUGGAGCUACUGGCAGAGAAAAGGAAAAGCUGUUAUCAUCAUCCUGGAAGAAGAAUGAGAGACACUCCUGAAUUGAAGACCUGCCUCUGAUAUUGGUUUCUCUUGUAACGUUGCACAGGUCACUUAAUCUCUGUAUGUGUUUGGUGGCAGCAUCUGUGACGACAAUGCUCCCAAGGGAUUUUCCAGGAAAGAAGCACCUAAAGAAAGCUUGUAAGAGCAAUUAAAAGCAGAAUCUGACUGGUAAAUUGCCAUCUAAUGAUGAUGGAAAUUUCACAGAGUUUAAAGAAUGAAGAGAAAAAGCAGAGUAUGGGCAGAUAGGAUUGACUGGUAGAAUGAGGCAAAGGUAAACUUGUAGCUUUUGCAUGAUUUCAUUGCAAAAACCAGAGAGGACUGAGAUGUUUUGACUCAUGAGGGCUCUGGAGGACCUAGAUUUGCUGAGUUCAAAAUCUUCCACCACAACCAGAUGGUCUAAACCUAAUGAACUGAAAAUACACCAUUCUUCCAGCUUUUGAUCUCUCUUGCAUAGAGGAUAUGGACCUGUCAUACCAUCUGUUCUGAACGCUUUAAAAAAAAAAUCCUGCUGGAUCUUCAUAACAUUGCUUCUUGACAGUCUUCCACAUUGCUUUGUGUCUGCUUUCACAUUGCACCCUACCUUUCAGAAUAUGGCUCGGUUUUAACACGUCUUUAUACAAAUUAAUUUCAUCCAUUUGCAGCAAGACACCUGAGAGGAUAAUUUAGCUGCUGGACAAUAUGUAUCUAUAUAUUUAGCUGACAUCUACUAUGUCUAUCUACUAUGAAAGCUUUCCAUGUAGCUAUAAAAGAAUAUCAAGGUCUAAAUGUCAUCGUAGUUGUUGAAAAGAGGUUGCAGAAGAUUCUUUCUGUAGUGCUUCUGGUUGCAUCUUCAGAAUCAGCUACUUGGAGGUAAUACCUAGGUACCGAUUUUUGCCUCUUCUGAAUGUUGAGCAUAAUUCAUUUCUGCUCAAUGACAAAUUCCCUUUAGUACUCUUGAAAGAGAAAAAUCUCAGAGAAAAUAGUAACUCUCAAAAACACUAGAAAGUUUUAAGAAAUAAGUAACUUUUCCAUGUUGACAAAUAUCAUGCUAGUCACUAAAGCCACUGUUUCUCAGUCCAUCUCUGGGGACUUAGUAUUGUCGUUUUUAUUACUUAUCCAGGUCACCAUACUCAUGGAAUAUUUAGAAAUAUUGAUUUUUACACAUGCUUCUUCUUUUUUUGGAAGACUAAAAGCAAAAGCAUAAAAGCAGGCUGGGCUAGACGUAGAGUUUGUUCAAAUCAGUAACAUGCCCCUUAAACCACAGCUUAUUCCUGAACAACCUGAAGUUUGUUCUAGAAAGCUUAUCUUUCUGUUACAGCUAUUUCUUGUUCCAGAAACUUUGCCUACCAGAUUUCUUCUUAUUUCCCUGAAUGUCUGCUCAGAUUAUGGCUUGGCAGUCCUUGCUGUUGUCUCUGCCCCCUCAAGCAAUUACUAUCUCUAUGUUCAACUCAAAGGAAAAAAAAGGAGGAAGGGGAAAGAGUGGGAAGAGGAUUGUGAGUUUCAUAGUCUUUCUCCAAGUAUCCUGAACUAUUUUUCCUCCCAUGGUAUGGUGAUUUGGAACUUAGAAGCUGCUCCCACCUCCAAAGCAUAAACAUGUACAGAAAAUGGAAGAGGGAAUGUUACAGUAGCAAGAAAUAUGAAGGUGAGAAGCAUAGAAAAAUAUCAUCACCUUUAGAGUAACUGGUGACCAGAAAAGCAUACAUUUUAUUAUCUUGAAAAUACUUCAUUUUUUCUAUAUUUUUCUUCUCUUCCUUAAAAUAAAAAUUAAAAAAAUCAACCCAGCAAAAUCUAUUGUCUUGCACACAGCACCUAGUGUCUAUAUGCAUCAAGUGGCCUUCAUGUGAGAGAAAGAAAUAAAUUUACAAUAAAGCUGUUCAAAUUACUGGUCCAGGCUCCCUUUAUAGCCAAGAUAUGAUUAUAAUUUCAGGAUGUGAUUCAUCUCAAUUUAAAAUAAAUGCCUGUUUUUGAUCAUGAGAGUCAUGUCCUGAAAGUACCUGGUUCCCUUUGCUGUGUGUAAGAGGAGUGGGGAAGAAUAGUUCAGGCAUAGACUCUGCAUUGCAAACUUCAGAGGGGUUGGUUCCUACCAGCACAGCUUUUGAAGGGAUAAACUCAAACUUCCUUCCAAAUUAAACCUGAGCCCAGGCUGAGUGACCUGUCUACCAGAUGCUGCAGAUGGUCUUGGCAUUCUUUUAUACUUUCAGACCUAUGCAGUUUUUCACUACUGCUGCUGUGCCGUUAAUAAUUGUUGUUAUCAGCCAGAUACACAGGAGGCAAAUCCAUUUCAGUACUGGAUAAAGUGACCUCUCUUAAUUAGCUUCUAUAUUAUGCUGCAAAAUGUUGUGGGUUCCUUUGGGCUGAGAGUAAUUAAAUACAUAGAAGCUAUUAAUGUUUAAUUAGCAUUUUUUUCGCAUAAUCCUCAGUUUUUCCACAGGUUUCCUCAUUUUGAUAUUUGUCCUAGUCACUGCUGAGAAGCUAUUUUCAGUGCAGCUUCUGCCCUUGAUUAUCCCUGCCUAUAACCAUUCAGAAUGGGUUAAUUAAAUUACAUUUCCUUUGUCUUAGAUUCUGAUUUAAUCCGAAUAAUAUUCUGACCCACUGUGUUUCAUAGUGAUACAAUAACUAGUCAGGACAGAUGUGUUGUCUCCCAGUGGAGUGCACAGAUCCAUUUCUGUACUACUGCUGCUCUUCGGUGUCUGCUCAUUAGGUUUGUGUUGUUGUGGGUUUGCUUUUUCCUUUCCUUUUCUUUUCUUUUUUUUUUUGUAAAGUAUUUUAACUCCUUCCUCUUAGAGGGCUUUUCUCAACCUUUGACCUUUUUUAUGGUAGAGUACCAAGUAUCCCAUGAAAACAUGAGAGAAAUCAGAUCUCACCUGAGGCUGACAUUACAUACACUUGACUUACCAACCAUGCAGAAGGAAAAGUAAGCAGUGACUUUGCACUUAAAAUAUUUGUUUGAGAUAACCUUUCACUUAUUUUCUUAAGAGCUGGGUGAUCUCCCAGUACUUAUAAUUGAGCAAUGCUUUAUUUCAUCCUUUUGCUUUGCAUUACCAAUUGAUUGUGUUAAUUUAAUGUAUUCAAGAGCACUGACAGAGACUAUGGCCUGGCUUGCUGUCUCCUGUCAGGAACAUGGCAAGACAAAGUCUCCCUUUCUGAAAAUUUCCUGUUUUUGUCCUCCAGCUGUGGAUGAAAUUCCAGAGAUUCGGUGCCUGUGUCACGAGAGGGGAGUGCUGCCCACUUGGCAGGAUGGCUCCAGUUCACUGCUUCCAGCUGGGGGUGCCCAACUGGAAGAUGCCUCCUUCCCUCCACUGAGGCAGCCUGUGCUCCCAGCCCUGCCACUUCCAUUAAGUGCCCCUGAUGGAGGCAGGGGUGAGGAAGAACCAAUGCCUCCAGGUGGAAAGAUUGAAGCCCCUGUUUUUCCCAUGGGGAAGGAUCCAGUUGUACAACAGCCCUUCUUAUAUCCUUGCCUUGGCUGGAUCCAAGUGUCCCAGCUCACCCCAAGGGACCAAUAUCCCGCCCAGCAGGCCAGGAUUAGGGAAUUUUUUAGUGCCUGCUAGAUUUAACCCCUGUUUCCUUCCUCACUCUACCUUUGUUGCCACCCAUUCUCUGGACAUCUGGGGGCUCCUUUUCUCUUCAGCUGACUUUGUUAUUACUGUCUUCUUUGUUAUUUAGGUAGCACUGCUGAUGGGCAAAAAGCUCGGUGGUAAAUGGGGUGUGACAGAUAAGAGCUGUGUACCCCGAGGGUCUUAAAGUGUAAAGGUAAUGCAUCUAAACCCAAGCAAACAAACAGAGAAGAAAACAACAAGAUCAAUCACAGACUAGGGAGGACAGCACUGCAGUCAGUAUACUUUUUGGAAUAUGGGCCUCUGAAAGAUUUUGCUGAGGCAGUAAGAAAAUUGAAGAAAAUUAAGUAAAGGAUAUUUCAGACACUUGGGGGACAUUAAAUAUGCUUUUUCUUUCAUUUAUUCCUCCUUUCACAGUUACAUUAGAAGAAGGUAGGUAGUCAAAGAUGGAAAGCUCCUUGUUGGAGCAGAUGAUGAUGUGGACAUUUGUGGAGAAGUCCACUCUGCAGAGACAGGCUGGUCAUGGGAGAGCCCAAUCUCCUGUGUGUGGAAGCAUCCCUCUAUUAGCGGAUUGCUUCCAGGCCUAGGUGAGGUUCAAGCAUUUCAAAGUUUGUCCAUGUGUCUCUGGUGGAGAAAUACAUAUGCUCAUUCAUCAGUUCCUUUCUAAUCAGAGUUUUAUCAACAAUUGUAAAUGUAACAGCUUUCUGCCAGCAAAUGCUAUUUGAAAGAAAUGAAAUUAAUUCAUGGUUGUGUACUGUGACUGUGUCAAAAUGUUUGGGGGAAGUUAUAAAAAUGUUUGUUAGAUAAUAGGUUGUAACAUUUCAGUUUGACUUUAUUACCACAUUAAUUUCAGAGUGACACAGCUGAAACAAAAUAUGUAAGAACAGUCAGAGUGAAGUAUUUUUUUGUUCUUCUUUUGUGCUUCUAGAAUGAAACUAAGUUCCCCUUGAAGUUCCCCCCAGGAUAAGAAAUCUGAAUUUCACCAGCCAGGAUUACAAUACUAAUAUUCCUUCCUAUAUGAGCAGCUUGGCUUCCUCAUCUGUGCUGGAAAGUAAAUGAGAAGGGAUGCCAUUUCUAAGUAGUAGCACCAUAUACUCUUUCUCCUACUCCAGGCUACACUUGACUAGUUCAAUAUUGUGAUUAAAACCCAUCUUGCCUCCACCUUUAAAUACAGCUUCACUCUAGGAAUAGCUGGAAGAAAGCUGUCUUUGUCUAGGAUAUGUCUUCCCUUGCCAAAUAUAUAAACUAUCCAAACAAAAUGUAGCAAUUUGUCUUUCAUUUAAUGAUGAACAUUUGCUCUGAUAUUUGUUCACUUUUCCAGAACUGUCUUAAUUAAACUGCUGUAGUCUAUGUUUUCAUACCAAACAUGGUUACUUCAUUAUUCAAAAGGCACAGAGCUGGCACAUUUUCUGGUGCUUCUGAAGUGAGGGUGUUUUAUGGAAAUGAAAACUUACCGCUUGUGGAGGCACAUGAAAAAGAAUGAAUCAUAUUUAAUGCAAAAUUAACUCCAUCUGAAAAAGCUGCUGUUUUGUCUCUAGUUAAAAAAAAUCAUGAUAGUAUAUGAACCACAGUAACAUGCUUCUCUGUUGUUAAGCAGUCACUGUCUGAAAAAUGUCAAUCCAAAUGCAAAGUAAAGACAUGAAACAAAGUCCACUGCAUUCACAGGAAAAUUCCUAU